GACCGCUCCGGUGGCCUAGUGGUUAGAGCGUCCGCCUCGGAUGCAGGAGGUCGCUGGUUCUAAUCCUGGCCGAGUCA